AUGUUAGCGGCGGACGGGUGAGUAACACGUGGAUAACCUACCUAUAAGACUGGGAUAACUUCGGGAAACCGGAGCUAAUACCGGAUAAUAUUUUGAACCGCAUGGUUCAAAAGUGAAAGACGGUCUUGCUGUCACUUAUAGAUGGAUCCGCGCUGCAUUAGCUAGUUGGUAAGGUAACGGCUUACCAAGGCAACGAUGCAUAGCCGACCUGAGAGGGUGAUCGGCCACACUGGAACUGAGACACGGUCCAGACUCCUACGGGAGGCAGCAGUAGGGAAUCUUCCGCAAUGGGCGAAAGCCUGACGGAGCAACGCCGCGUGAGUGAUGAAGGUCUUCGGAUCGUAAAACUCUGUUAUUAGGGAAGAACAUAUGUGUAAGUAACUGUGCACAUCUUGACGGUACCUAAUCAGAAAGCCACGGCUAACUACGUGCCAGCAGCCGCGGUAAUACGUAGGUGGCAAGCGUUAUCCGGAAUUAUUGGGCGUAAAGCGCGCGUAGGCGGUUUUUUAAGUCUGAUGUGAAAGCCCACGGCUCAACCGUGGAGGGUCAUUGGAAACUGGAAAACUUGAGUGCAGAAGAGGAAAGUGGAAUUCCAUGUGUAGCGGUGAAAUGCGCAGAGAUAUGGAGGAACACCAGUGGCGAAGGCGACUUUCUGG
rnacentral:rRNA from 1 species